rnacentral:tRNA from 1 species
GCGGGAGUAGCUCAGUUGGUAGAGCGUCGGCCUUCCAAGCCGAAUGUCGCGGGUUCGAGUCCCGUCUCCCGCU